GUCCACGCCGUAAACGAUGAUAACUAGCUGUCCGGGCACUUGGUGCCUGGGUGGCGCAGCUAACGCAUUAAGUUAUCCGCCUGGGGAGUACGGUCGCAAGAUUAAAACUCAAAGGAAUUGACGGGGGCCUGCACAAGCGGUGGAGCAUGUGGUUUAAUUCGAAGCAACGCGCAGAACCUUACCAGCCUUUGACAUCCCGCGCUAUCCUGAGAGAUCAGGGGUUCCCUUCGGGGACGCGGUGACAGGUGCUGCAUGGCUGUCGU
rnacentral:rRNA from 1 species